rnacentral:rRNA from 1 species
GACGAACGCUGGCGGCGUGCUUAACACAUGCAAGUCGAGCGGUAAGGCCCUUUCGGGGGUACGACGAGCGGCGAACGGGUGAGUAACACGUGGGUGACCUGCCCUCAGCUCUGGGAUAAGCCUGGGAAACCGGGUCUAAUACUGGAUAUGACUCCAUGACGCAUGUUGUGGGGUGGAAAGCCUUGUGCGGCUGAGGAUGGGCCCGCGGCCUAUCAGCUUGUUGGUGGGGGUGAGGCCUACCAAGGCGACGACGGGUAGCCGGCCUGAGAGGGCGACCGGCCACACUGGGACUGAGACACGGCCCAGACUCCUACGGGAGGCAGCAGUGGGGAAUCUUGCGCAAUGGGCGAAAGCCUGACGCAGCGACGCCGCGUGAGGGAUGACGGCCUCGGUUGUAACGUACUUCUACGCUCCGACGAACGACGAGAGU